rnacentral:rRNA from 1 species
AGCAGCCGCGGUAAUUCCAGCUCCAAUAGCGUAUAUUAAAGUUGUUGCAGUUAAAAAGCUCGUAGUUGAAUUUCGGGAUCAAUAUGCCGGUCAUGCCUUGGUAUGCACUGGUAUCUUUGAUUUCUCCCUUCUGACGAACUUUGAUGUCAUUAAUUUGGUGUCAUAGGGAAUCAGGACUGUUACUUUGAAAAAAUUAGAGUGUUUAAAGCAAGCUCACGCUUGAAUACAUUAGCAUGGAAUAAUGAAAUAGGACGUUUGAUUCUAUUUUGUUGGUUUCUAGGAUCGACGUAAUGAUUAAUAGGGAUAGUUGGGGGCAUUAGUAUUCAAUUGUCAGAGGUGAAAUUCUUGGAUUUAUUGAAGACUAACUACUGCGAAAGCAUUUGCCAAGGAUGUUUUCAUUAAUCAAGAACGAAAGUUAGGGGAUCGAAGACGAUCAGAUACCGUCGUAGUCUUAACCAUAAACUAUGCCGACUAGGGAUCGGAUGAUGUUAAUUUUUUAAUGACUCA